rfam:Exidia glandulosa HHB12029 unplaced genomic scaffold EXIGLscaffold_257, whole genome shotgun sequence.
CUCGAGUGAUGCAUACACCUACUUUUCAGUUCUGCUUCUGCAAUGUCCUUGAAGAUAACCCAUACCUUACCAAUCUUUUCUGACUC